AGGAUGAACGCUGGCGGCGUGCUUAACACGUGCAAGUCGAACGGUGAAGCCCAGCUUGCUGGGUGGAUCAGUGGCGAACGGGUGAGUAACACGUGAGCAACCUGCCCCUGACUCUGGGAUAAGCGCUGGAAACGGUGUCUAAUACUGGAUACGAACAGUGACCGCAUGGUCAGUUGUUGGAAAGAUUUAUUGGUUGGGGAUGGGCUCGCGGCCUAUCAGCUUGUGGUGAGGUAUGGCUCACCAAGGCGUCGACGGGUA
rnacentral:rRNA from 1 species